ensembl:lncRNA
CAGUUGACACACCUAUGGAUUUGAUCUAACAUGGACCGUCAAGCUUGUGGAGUCUGUGUCAUUAAAGCAAAACCUUCCCUGUACCGGUCAUAACACUUUGUAAAACUACGCUUUAGAGAUGAAGUUGUGCAGUAAGAGUAAAUUUCGACACUACACAGUUUCCGGUUCUGAAACCUUUCACCACAUAGCCGUUGAACGCACCCCUGUUCCUGUGUGACUGCCAACCAUAAAGUCCUGGAAACACAUCGCUGCUGCUCUUGUUUGUUGAACUGUUUGGCUGGAUCAAGGUAACAACAUCUACAUCACCACACCAACUGAAUACAAUUAACAAAAUGCACUUGUAACGAACUGUGAAACGAGAAGACCUCUUGAUUGUUGUGUCGCUGUUGUCUGCAUGGUUAGCUGGUCUGCUGUAAGAUCUCCCAGUGAGAAGCAAGUUUUACACAACCUCAGCAAAAAAAAAAAAAAAACACAAGUGGUGUGAACAGCCUGACAUCUCCUAACUCAAGAAGAAUGAAGGUGAUCAUGUUUGAUAUUUUUGUUGACUGAGUUAAAGAAAGAUGAAUAGCAUUAAAACUGGCACCCUGUUAUGAACCAGAUUCUUAUUUAGUGCAGGAAUGUAUAAUAUAGAGCAGUGCUUCUCAAACCUGUCCUGGAGGACCCCCAGCACUUCACAUUUUGUAUGUCUCCCUCAUCUUAAUACACCUGAUAACUCAUCAGCUCAUUAGUACAGACUACAAGACCUGAAUCGUGUGUGUCAGAUAAGGGAGACAUACAAAACGUGCAGUGCUGGGGGUCCUCCAGGGCACCUUGAAGAACCCCUGAUAUAGUGGGUAUACAUUGACGUCACGUUCCUACCGGAACACACCCCCUCGACCGUACUGAGUGGUAAAACAUUCAGCAAAAUGGCUGGUUUUGAUAGGGGAAGCUGUGAAAACACUAGUAUAACUAACGAUUAUCAGCUUAAAUUAAAGGCAGUUGGAUUCAACAGUGACCCUAACAGCUUGCCUAAGAAUCUGUGGUCCAUGGACAUUGGCAUGUGACCAGAAAUCAGUUUUCCCGACAUUCAUAUGUGCCUGAUUUCGGGGAAAUACAUUAAGCAAAGCCUGAAGGCAUACAAAAGCCUUGAAGCUUGGUCCUAGUUCAAGGUGGGAUAUGUUGCAGUAAUUAAAGUGACAAGAACACCAAUAAACAUUCUGGUUGUAUAUGGACAGAUACGUGCAAAUAUUUUAAUUUUAUUCUAUAAUUUUAUCUGGUAAACCGUAAGCUAGAUAGUCCAAGUUUGUUUGUAACUAACACUGUCCGAUAAUGAAUGAGCCCCCAUUAUUCAUUAAUGGAAAUAGGCAGCCUUUAGAAAGAAAUAUGUAGCAAAUUAUUCAUUGUUGUACAACAUGAAUACAACAUGAAUACCACAUGCCAAAAGAACUUACACUUACACUGCUCCACU